rnacentral:rRNA from 1 species
UCGAGCCUACGGGGGGCAGCAGUGGGGGAUAUUGCACAAUGGGGGGAACCCUGAUGCAGCGACGCCGCGUGGGUGAAGGAGCGUUUCGGCGCGUAAAGCCCUAUCGGCAGGGAAGAAGAUGACGGUACCUGACCAAGAAGCCCCGGCUAACUACGUGCCAGCAGCCGCGGUAAUACGUAGGGUGCGAGCGUUAAUCGGAAUUACUGGGCGUAAAGCGCUCGUAGGCGGUAUGUCAAGUCAAGGGUGAAAUCCCCGCGCUCAACGUGGGAACUGCCUUUGAAACUGGCAAACUGGAGUGUGUGAGG